rnacentral:rRNA from 1 species
CCCAGACAGCCAGGAUGUUGGCUUAGAAGCAGCCAUCAUUUAAAGAAAGCGUAAUAGCUCACUGGUCGAGUCGGCCUGCGCGGAAGAUGUAACGGGGCUAAACCAUGCACCGAAGCUGCGGCAGCGACACUGAUGUGUUGUUGGGUAGGGGAGCGUUCUGUAAGCCGUUGAAGGUGUGUCGUGAGGCAUGCUGGAGGUAUCAGAAGUGCGAAUGCUGACAUAAGUAACGAUAAAGCGGGUGAAAAGCCCGCUCGCCGGAAGACCAA